rnacentral:rRNA from 1 species
AGGGUUUGAUCAUGGCUCAGAACGUACGCUGGCGGCACGCCUAACACAUGCAAGUCGAACGAAGUAGCAAUACUUAGUGGCAGACGGGUGAGUAACAUGUAGGUAUCUGCCCUUUGGCCUGGAAUAACACGAGGAAACUUGUGCUAAUACCGGAUAAGUCUUUACGGAGAAAGCUUUAUGCACCAUUGGAUGAGCCUGCACUUGAUUAGUUUGUUGGUGGGGUAAUGGCCUACCAAGACUGUGAUCAAUAGCUGAUUUGAGAGGAUGAUCAGCCACAUUGGGACUGAGACACGGCCCAAACUCCUACGGGAGGCAGCAGUGGGGAAUCUUGCACAAUGGAGGAAACUCUGAUGCAGCGAUGCCGCGUGAGUGAAGAAGGCCCUUGGGUUGUAAAGCUCUUUCGUCGGGGAAGAAAAUGACUGUACCCGAAUAAGAAGGUCCGGCUAACUUCGUGCCAGCAGCCGCGGUAAUACGAAGGGACCUAGCGUAGUUCGGAAUUACUGGGCUUAAAGAGUUCGUAGGUGGUUGAAAAAGUUAGUGGUGAAAUCCCAGAGCUUAACUCUGGAACUGCCAUUAAAACUUUUCAGCUAGAGUAUGAUAGAGGAAAGCAGAAUUUCUAGUGUAGAGGUGAAAUUCGUAGAUAUUAGAAAGAAUACCAAUUGCGAAGGCAGCUUUCUGGAUCAUUACUGACACUGAGGAACGAAAGCAUGGGUAGCGAAGAGGAUUAGAUACCCUCGUAGUCCAUGCCGUAAACGAUGUGUGUUAGACGUUGGAAAUUUAUUUUCAGUGUCGCAGCGAAAGCAUUAAGCACACCGCCUGGGGAGUACGACCGCAAGGUUAAAACUCAAAUGAAUUGACGGGGACCCGCACAAGUAGUGGAGCAUGUGGUUUAAUUCGAAGAUACGCGCAGAACCUUACCAACACUUGACAUGUUCGUCGCGACUCUGAGAGAUCAGAGUUUUCGGUUCGGCCGGACGAAACACAGGUGCUGCAUGGCUGUCGUCAGCUCGUGUCGUGAGAUGUUGGGUUAAGUCCCGCAACGAGCGCAACCCUCACUUUUAGUUGCCAUCAUUAAGUUGGGCACUCUGAAAGAACUGCCAGUGAUAAGCUGGAGGAAGGUGGGGAUGACGUCAAGUCCUCAUGGCCCUUACGUGUUGGGCUACACACGUGCUACAAUGGUAUCUACAACAGGAAGCAAGACUGCGAGGUCAAGCAAAUCCUUAAAAGAUACCUCAGUUCGGAUUGCACUCUGCAACUCGAGUGCAUGAAGCUGGAAUUACUAGUAAUCGUGGAUCAGCGUGCCACGGUGAAUGCGUUCCCGGGUCUUGUACACACCGCCCGUCACACCAUGGGAGUUGGUUCUACCUUAAGGCAAGGUUUCAAACCCUUGACCACGGUAUAGUCAGCGACUGGGGUGAAGUCGUAACAAGGUAGCCG